AGUCGNACGGAAAGGNCCUUCGNGGUACUCGAGUGGCGAACGGGUGAGUAACACGUGNGUGAUCUGCCCUGCACUUUGGGAUAAGCCUGGGAAACUGGGUCUAAUACCGAAUAUGACCAUGCACUUCCUGGUGUGUGGUGGAAAGMUUUUGCGGUGUGGGAUGGGCCCGCGGCCUAUCAGCUUGUUGGUGGGGUAAUGGCCUACCAAGGCGACGACGGGUAGCCGGCCUGAGAGGGUGACCGANCACACUGGGACUGAGAUACGGCCCAAACUCCUACGGGAGGCAGCAGUGGGGAAUAUUGCACAAUGGGCGCAAGCCUGAUGCAGCGACGCCGCGUGAGGGAUGACGGCCUUCGGGUUGUAAACCUCUUUCAGCACAGACGAAGCGCAAGUGACGGUAUGUGCAGAAGAAGGACCGGCCAACUACGUGCCAGCAGCCGCGGUAAUACGUAGGGUCCGAGCGUUGUCCGGAAUUACUGGGCGUAAAGAGCUCGUAGGUGGUUUGUCGCGUUGUUCGUGAAAACUCACAGCUUAACUGUGGGCGUGCGGGCGAUACGGGCAGACUUGAGUACUGCAGGGGAGACUGGAAUUCCUGGUGUAGCGGUGGAAUGCGCAGAUAUCAGGAGGAACACCGGUGGCGAAGGCGGGUCUCUGGGCAGUAACUGACGCUGAGGAGCGAAAGCGUGGGGAGCGAACAGGAUUAGAUACCCUGGUAGUCCACGCCGUAAACGGUGGGUACUANGUGUGGGUUUCCUUCCUUGGGAUCCGUGCCGUAGCUAACGCAUUAAGUACCCCGCCUGGGGAGUACGGCCGCAAGGCUAAAA
rnacentral:rRNA from 1 species